UUCGAUUGGAUGUCGGGCGUGUGUGGACUUGUCCUGUUUGGGGUCCUCGAAUGCAAACGUAAACUUGGAACUGUUUUGUGCUUGCUAACGAUUUCACUUGCUCUGCGCAAAGACUGACUGAGCGGUGCGAUCCUGGCCAUGUGUUAGUCGGAAGGCUUUGUCACGACAGCAUUGCCUGAUGUAAGCAGCCACUUCUGAUGCAAUGAGCAAGUCAGGAGAAAGUGUGAAUUAGAUUACCACAAGUCUGGUUUAAAUCAACACACAAUGGCUGAUGUGGACAAUGCAGUGGACAAUCAUGCUUUAUCUAAUGGCAGAUCUCAAGAUGGACAACCACUACAAAAUAUUGAAAAUUCUGAAGAUUCUCAGUUGAUUCAGAAGUAUGAGCAGCUUGCAAGUGAGCUGCAGCAGCGCGCGAGCGUGCCGCCGCAGGAGGCGGCAGCCCUGUUAGAGCAGGUGCGGCUGCACGUGCUCAGCCCGUCGGAGGAGGUAGGCCGGGCGGCGCUGGCGGCGCUGGCGGUGCUGCUGCAGCG